UUAACUCAAAUUUGUGUGAAGUUGGAACGUUUACCUACGUUUGCCGCUAGGGGCGCUGUUCCAACUGCAAACUAAUUUGAGUUA
rfam:Bombyx mori DNA, contig: Bm_scaf98_contig35564, strain: p50T/Dazao, build 2, whole genome shotgun sequence.